GGGUCGUUAGCUCAGCUGGUAGAGCAGCGGACUUUUAAUCCGUUGGUCGCGCGUUCGAAUCGCGCACGACCUACCA
rnacentral:tRNA from 2 species